UACGUAGGGUGCAAGCGUUAUCCGGAAUUAUUGGGCGUAAAGAGCUCGUAGGCGGUUUGUCGCGUCUGCUGUGAAAACCCGAGGCUCAACCUCGGGCCUGCAGUGGGUACGGGCAGACUGGAGUACUGCAGGGGAGACUGGAAUUCCUGGUGUAGCGGUGGAAUGCGCAGAUAUCAGGAGGAACACCAGUGGCGAAGGCGACUACCUGGCCUGUUCUUGACGCUGAGGCGCGAAAGCUAGGGGAGCAAACGGG
rnacentral:rRNA from 1 species